CAACUAUUCCUCUAGACCUAAUUAUCAUAAUCACACGUAUGAUAACUCUCACAACAAUGUACCUUACCAACCACCUCCAAAAUAUCGCAAUUAUGCUACACGUAGAUCCCAUCACCAAUCCCCAUCCACUAAAAGACCCCAAUAUACGUCCUCUCAUCAUAACUACGCUCCUUCAAAAUCACCAUACCAAUAUAAGAGGAAUACAUACCAACUACCCUCGUACAAUCAAAGGAAAUUUCCUCACGAUAAUCACAAUCCUAUACCUCAAUCACCUAGAUAUCACAACCCCUCUGGUUUUAAUUUCGCACCAAAACCACAAAGAUCCAGAUAUACAAAUGAUCAUAAUGAGUAUUCUAACUACUCAAAAUCACCCACAAUCCCAAAUCACACUAAUAGAUAUCAAUUAUUAUCAGUCGAUUCUGACUUUGAUAAUGAGGAUCCUUUUUUAGAGAUACGUACUCACCAACCUGCACUAGCUCAGACACCUUACCCAUCACGUUCUCAAAAAAGAACUUUAAAUCUAGAGGAAGACGAAGUGGAAGAAGGGAACAAAAGAGAAAGAUUGGAAAGGCAAUAACACCCUCUACUGAUUCCUGUAAUGGCAUUUUUAACCUCUCCCAAAAAGUUUUAUCAGCCGCACAAUUAUCCGUUUUAAGUAAGGGUCUUAAAUUCGCUCCAACUUCCUCUUUUAAUUCAUUUCAAGCUUUUCUCGAUGUAAACAAAUUUGUUAGAAAGGCUACAUUGAAAAGAUUUUUUAUAAGUAAAAAUGAUGAGGAACCCCCCCUUUUUACUCUAUCC